UCGGCCAUAUGUAGCCAUUGAAGGGAGCUACAAGGAGUUCCCGUGCCCAAGCCAUCAGCCUUUUCAGGCGACACAGCCACUAGCUAGAGUCCCAGACCACCCGAUUCGGACACACAAUGCUUCAAAGCAGCACACACGUGGGGAUACCUGGACCCGGCCGGAACACACGACUUGAGCAACAGUUGCCUGGAUGAAUCCCCCCGGCCUCGGUUGUUGGUGGUCAUCCUUGACGAAGACGCUUUGUAAUUGUUUGAGAGAGGGUAGGGGCCGACCUGAUAACGCCCAGCGGCUUCCCUUAGUUGUCCUUCGCAACAAACCGGUUGUCUUGUUGACUGCUGAUCCUGCACUCUUGGCGCGUGUACAUGGUAGAUCUACGCAGACUAGACACGGCUUGAGCCUUGAACGAAAGCUGAACUGCGUCUGGCUGUUCCCUUCCGAAGAAGGAAGGCGAAAAUGCCUUUUGGUAACCUGCGCCUGCCAUUGUCGGCGGCAGCUGUGCUGCUGGGCAUGGCUGCCAUGGUUGCCAUCUCAGUGCUGCCGGAAUGUCAAGCUAGAGCACACGGAAGCCCGGACACUAGAGGGAGGUGCAAGAGUAGUUGUUCAGGAUUCGAAACCUGCACUCAGCGGAGAGACACCUGGCUGUGUAUCG